CGGACGGGUGAGUAAUGUCUGGGAAACUGCCCGAUGAGGGGGGAUAACUACUGGAAACGGUAGCUAAUACCGCAUAAUGUCUGCGGACCAAAGCGGGGGACCUCCGGGCCUCGCGCCAUCAGAUGAACCCAUAUGGGAUUAGCUUGUAGGUAAGGUAACGGCUUACCUAGGCGACGACCCCUAGCUGGUCUGAGAGGAUGAUCAGCCACACUGGGACUGAGACACGGCCCAG
rnacentral:rRNA from 1 species